rnacentral:lncRNA from 1 species
CUCUCUCUCUAUCUCUCUGAAUUUGGGGGUUUCAACUUUGAACACUGAUCGAUUGAAGAAGAUCAAACCACCAUUUUUUUCCAAAACUCUCCCUCCGACACCCUCUUCUCCGAUGAGAUGAGAGGAACACUUGUGCAUCUGAUUUUUUCAACCAUCGUCACCAUUUACAUAUUCCAGAUUCAAGCUCAAGCCGCACCUGCCACCAUAUGAUUCUGUCAUCUUUAAUCAGCUCUAGUGAUCAAGCAGUUAUCCUCCAUUCUCAAGUGGACUUCAACAAAAUCACCAGUAUCAGAUGGGAAUAAUAUUCUUCUUCUUUAGUUCGAAGAUGGUUAUUUAGUGGAAACAGAUGUGGAAGGGAAUCAACUAAGGGUUGUGCCUUAUUCUAUUCAAGUGUCACAUGAUGUUGCUGAACUUUUCGAUGUUGAUUCCGUUAAUAGCAACAUUGUUCCAAUUACUCCCCCAUUAUACCAAUGUAAACAUCAUUAUAAUUUGCCAUUGCUCUGCCAUUUCUU